AUUACUUUACCCACCCCAAUCACAAUACAAUUACUCUUUCUCAUUCCGAACAAUAUCAUGGAUUUUCACCUGAAACACACUCAAAAGAGUGGCAAGGUCUAACUAAUAGGUUUAGAUUGUCAAUCCUUCAUCCUCACCUCCAAUAGCAACAACCAAGGGGAAAGUAUCAUAAAUAACACCAAAUACAACCAACAAAAACAA
rnacentral:misc_RNA from 1 species